UUUGUUGGAAUUCUAAUCUGGUUCUUGCUCACAUUGGACCAUUAUCAGGUUCAGUUAUUACGUUUUCCUGGCUGAGCCUAUCUAACCUUUUUAAUUAACCCAAAUCUGCCUACUCAUAAGUAAUUAUGUUAAUUACUUGUUAAGCAAAAUAAGUAAGGAUCUAACAACAAUGCUAGUUAAUAAUUAAACGUAUAACUUAUCAAUACAUAACAACAUGUUUAAUACAAUAAUUUUUAAAGGAAAAUUCACAAUUAAAAUCACUUUACAGGGUUCAACUUCCAAGCCCAUUUGCUUGGGCCCAUACUUGCUUAAAUGCGUUUCAAUGUCGGGCCUCGUCGUGAGUCUGACUCAUUUCAUGUUAUGUCCCAAACCAUUACACCAUAUAAUAAUAAUGUCCAUUACAAGAAGAAAAAAGGAUCCAACUGUUAUGACCCUAUACAUAAAUUAAACGAAAAUUAAAUUUAAAAGUCAUUAAAACAAUCCAUUUCUACUACUGAAAGUCCACGAAUUUACAUAAUUUUCCUAACUAUAAUUAUAUAUCUAGAAAAAAUAUUAAGGCAAAGAGACAACUACCUUCCUAAUUUGGAGUCUCCCAGCUAUCACAAAUAUUUUUAAAAGAUAACUUCAACCUGCAAGAAAUUAGUUAUAUAAUUGUUUCUUGCACGCUAGCAUUUAAUUCUACUUUGAAGCUUCUUACUGCUCAUUAGGCUUUUAUUUCAGCAUAGACUUUCAUGGAUCUGACUAUGUGAAAAGGUCAGACUCACAAAAAUAUUUUUAAAUGUAUGGACCUACAGUAUUAUCAAAUCAAUCUUAAAUAACAUAAUACAAGAAUGAGUAAAAGCAAAAACAAUGUUGUUUAUGAGUCUGACCAUGUUUAAGGUCAGCUUCACAAACGAACAAAGACUUUCAACCGUGAUCCUACUCUAAGUUCUCAUUUUAGUAAAGAAGACGGGGGAGGGGGAGGGGGGACAAGCUUAGACAUAUGCUAGAUGAGUUAAGAAUCUAUACACUAUUAAGGAGUGAAUCUGACCAUUUAAAGGGUAAGAUUCAUUUCCUUUAGUGCUGUUAUCAAAAGGAAAAUUUUGAAAAUAGUUUUAUAGUAUAAAGCCUUACUGAUUCAGCCCAUCAAAUAUUGGCAUAUACAACACAAUUAUUUCAGAUUUCAUGAUUAAAAUGCAACAACCAUUUAAGAUAAUAUCAACAUAGGGUUUAUAGACAUUAAUUAACCCUAAAUUCACAAAGUAAAGGAUUCUAAAGCUAACAAAAAAGUUCAGCCAAAUAAAAAAAAGGGUUUCAAACACAAAUUUUAAACUUAUACUUAAUUAUAUUUAGGAUGAACAUUAUUACAUACCUUGAAAUUGAAAACACAAACAUAGAAAUGAUCAAAUAAAGGUCAAGGAGAAAAGAACCAAGAAGCUUCAGCAACCAAACACAGCAAUGAACAACAACCAAAUAGAUUUCAGAAGAAAAAUUUUCAGCUUCAAACUAUUUUUUACUGAUGAAAACCAGAAAUCUUCAAAGAAGUUCUUUAAUUUUUGAUAAAAAUCAAAGGAAAAUAAGACAAUUGAACUUUUUUAGAGUGUAUACCUUAGGAUUUUUUAAUUCUGAUCAGUUUUUGAGGGAUAAUAUCUAUAUAUAAGCUGCAUAGGAUAGGUAUUCUUUUGGAAUAUUUCUUAUCCUAUAGAAAAAUAGUACUGUCCUCUUUUUACAGCCCUGGUACAACUGUCCCUUUUUAUCAUAUAUUCAGCAUCUUUUAUAACAGUUAUACAUUUUCUAGAAAGUUUAUUUUCUUAUAUAUUUUCUGAAAACGCAUCCCAAGUUUCUUUAAUUCAAUUAGGUUCUAUAUAAAUCGUAGUAAUUUACAGACUAGGGCAAACAAGAAAAAAAAUCUGUCAACAAAUCCAAAAAUACAAAUUAAAAGAUGUCAACAGAAAUAAAAUACAAGAGAUGAUGCAAUUAUACUAAAAUUAACCUAAUUACUAACAAAAUGUGCUUCAUCUAAUUAACUAUAGUAAUCAAAUUAACAAUUAUCAGAAAAACCACAAUGAAAUCUUAGAAGUUGAACUAAUCAUGUAUAUGAAGCAAAACGGAUAAAUUAACUCAAUUAAUAUGUAAAAGCUAAUUGCGAACCUCGGGAGAGGAACAUUUAAACAAAGCAACGAUAGAAUAAUCAAUUGACCAAAAACCCUAAUUAGGCCUAAACCUAUGCAAAAUUAAUUGAUAGCAAGAUUCAGCACGCUUUAAAAAUAAGUUGACAAUGCCAAUCGGGGGUGACACUGUGACUAUCUAAAUCAUAUAUGCUAAAAGGAAGAAGCAAGUGGGGAAAAUAGUAAUAUAGAAAGAAGAACAUAAAGAAAGAAAAUAAAUAAACAAAAAAGAAUUACCUAACGCUGUUUUGGACCGGGACAGUUGAUGAACUAUCCUGAAUGAAAUACUCGUGAAUGUAUACCAUCAUUAAUUUGUUGUUCUUAACAAGAAUAAUCAAUUAAUGGACGUUUGGGCUCACAAACUCCAAAUACUGACUGAGAAAAGAAUAAAGAAAAAUUAAGGUUGUUUCAAAAUUUUAGAUUUAAGAGUUGAUAGGAUUAAGGAUGAUUCAAGAGAAACCAAAGGGAUAUUUGGGGAGAGGGGGAGGAGGUUACAUGGUGUAUUUUUGGGUUGAUUGUGAGAAGUUAGGAUUUUUAGGCAUAAAACUCAGAUUUGAAAUAUAAGAUUUUUGGUGAUGAUUUGAAAGAAACGACUUAGAGAUUUGGAACGAGGAGAUGAUAGGAGUUCUAGGGUGCUAAAUUGGUGGUAUUUUGGGCAUUGGAACCACUAUGAGGCGAUUCCGGCAGGUGAUUGAUGGCGGGGACAACGGAGGAAAUUGGGCCAGUUAGGAUUCCUAUGGUUUGGACGUUAGAGACGAAGUGAGAGGGAUUGGAAUGGGGGAGGGGGGAGUGGACAGUUUCGGACAGUCAUAUAAUUAGUGAUCAACUAGUUCCCAGCAGUUAAAUCCAAUGUGAUCAACGCUUGAG
rnacentral:lncRNA from 1 species